rnacentral:lncRNA from 1 species
GUUAAGGUCCAGCGUCAAUGCAGCUGCAGUGCAGUUUGCAGAUCUGGCUGGAUUAGAUCCCUGUCCCGGGAACUUUCAUAUGCCUCUGGUGCAGCUGAAAAAAAAAAAAAAAGAAAAGAAAGAGGAGAAAGAAGUAAAGUGUCAAAUGAUCAAAUGACGUGGAUAUUAAUGUGAAAUCUCCCAAUUCUGUAAUGUGAACAAGAAAGUCAAACUGUUCAAAAACACUAAGGCGACCACAAGAACACUUUUAAAGACGACUUGGUCUUAACACUGCUAAUUUGCAAAAUGAAGGCUUAUCUUGACUGUGAUAGACAGCCUUCUCCCUGUUCUUUCAUCUGUGCCAAGUCCAGAUCUUACUAGCCCUCCCAAAUAUAUUUCCCAGUUAUAGCAUUUUCACCUGGAUUUGAACUUAACAAUGACAGCUAACAGUUAUAUGGCACUUACUUUAUGCCAUGCAUUGCUUUUCUAUAUCUACAUAUCUAUCUACCUACCUACUUAUCUAUCUUCAUCUAUCACAUACACAUACACAAACACACAUACACACAUGGUGGAUAAUUUCUAUUAUUAGCUCUAGUCAAGUUCAAGAUCACUGAAUUAUUGACAGUCUAAGUAAACGGUCAAACAUCCAUGCAGGGAAGAUAAGGCAGUACUGGGAUUUGGACCCAAGUUGUCUAGCUUCAUGGUCCGUGUUCACAAACAUCAUAUGAUACUAUUUCAGGAGGUGUGGGCUGGAUGUCUGGAUAUAAGGCUAGUUAGGAGAAUUAUAUUAGGCAUCCUCAUCAGCAUCAUUUAUUAGGCCCUCCCUUCUCCUGCAUUGAUUCAAACCCCUGGUGGUCCGUAUUCCUCAAACACCAAAGGAGGAACAUAUCGGAUUAUGCUGGGAAUACGAAGUUUGAAAACACCUUUCAGAGAAUUCCAAUACACCUUGCCCUGCUCUCUCUUCAACUCAGGGAAAAAUCACUGCAUUGCACAUGGCUUAUGUGGCUAUCUCUCAGAGGGAUGGUAAAGUCAUUAAAUUGAAGUUUACAGAGGAUUAAAUGUCAAGAGUGUGCUCGAUUCAUAUCUCAAGCUUAAAAAUGCACAACUUGUGGGUGGUUUCAUUAUUUGAAGGUCUGCCUUGCAAAUACGUUUUGCAUAAAAUAACUAAUUUUUAAUGUUAAGUUUUACUCUGUGGGCUAGGUCAAACUCUACGACCUUCAAGAAUUUCUAUCAUAUUUGGUAAAAAAAAAAAAAAAGGCAUGGUUGCAGAUAAUUCUUUGCUCUUGUUCAACUCCCCCCUUCUAUGGAGAGAACAUAAUGCUUAUUUUACUUUCACUUAUAGAAUUACAGGAGGACUGGACUAAAAGUCAUGCCUUAUGAGCAACAUGUUCAAAAUGUUUCCUUGAUUAGUUCCCCAUUGAUGAUAGACAUGAAAUUAAGAAAAAAUCAGAAUCAAAUCACUCUUUCUCCUUGUAUUCAUGCUCAUUUUCUCCUGAUAUAUCCCUUGAAAGAUUUUGUCACCUUUUCUUCAAAAAAUGACAUCUUUAUACUUAAAGAAUUAAUUGUGAAAUAGCAAUCAUACAGAAUAAUUAACAGCAAAGGAAAAUCUAUAGCUUGCCUAUUUAAAACAAAUCAGGGAGUUGGAUUAGGUCCCACUCAUUUAUUUUUGUUUUUAUUUCUACUGCCUCAGGAGUCCUAUCUAAGAAAACAUUUGUACAGUUAAUGUCAGAGAAUGUUUUGCCUAUGUUCUCUUCUAGGAGUUUUAUGGAGGCUUGUCUUAUGUUUUAGUCUUUAAGCCAUUUUGAAUUUUUGUGCAUGGUGUGAGAAUGUGUUCUAGUUUUAUUGAUUUACACGUAGCUAUCCAGUUUCCCCAGCACCACUUGCUGAAGAAAUUGUCUUUGUCCCAUUUUACAUUUUUGCUUCCUUUGUUGAAGAUUAAUUGGCCAUAGAUGUCUGGGUUUAUUUCUAGACUCUCCAUUCUGUUCCACUGAUACAUACAUCUGUUUUUGGAAUGUACAUUGGUAUAACCACUAUGGAAAACAGUACGGAGGUUCCUCAGAAAACUAAAGAACUACCAUAGGAUAAAGGAAUCCCACUCCUGAGCAUAUACCUGAACAAAACUACAAUUCAAAAAGAUACAUUCACCUGUAUGUUCAUAGUAACACUAUUCACAAUAGCCAAGACAUGGAAAUAACCUAAAUGUCCAUUAACGGACGAAUGGUUUAAGAAGAUGUGGUAGAUGUGCACAAUGGAAUACUACUCAGCCAUAAAAAAGAACUAAUGCCAUUUGUAGCAACAUGGAUGGAACUAGAGAUUCUCGUACUAAGUGAAGUAAGUCAGAAAUAGAGACAAAUAAUACAGGAUAUCACUUCUAUGUGGAAUCUAAAUAUGGCACAAAUGAACCUAUCUGCAGAAGAGAAACAGAUGCAGACAUGGAGAACAGACUUGCAGUUGCCAUGGGAGAGGAGGGAUGGAGUUUGGUGUUAGUAUCUUCAAACUAAUACAUUUAGAAUGGAUGGGCAAUGAGGUUCUUCUUUACAGCACAGGGAAUUGUGUCCAAUCUAUUGGGAUAGAACAUGAUGGGGGAUGAAAUGAGAAAAAGAAGGUAUAUACAUGUAUGACUGGGUAAGUGGGCUGUAUAGCAAAAACUGGCACAAUGUUGUAAAUCAACUGUAAUGAAAAAUAAAAAGUAAAAUAAAUAAAAUGAAAUAUAUUAUAAAACAAAUAAAAAGUUAAAACUAAUCACUGGGUCUUAGUACCCUGGAUAGAGGUCCUACUUCAAACAGGACCCAUGUCUACAACUAUCCCAAAUGUAUGUUUUGUUCUCUAUUCUCAGCAGAAAUUCUAAUGUUGGAUGAACUGAGAGGCUUACGUCUUGCCAGAGAGCUGUGAUCUCUGGGUAAAGGUCCAGCCAACCUUGGGCUUCAACAGACUGAAUGAUAUAAUUUCUAUCAAUUAAAAAUUAUUCCCCAGCUCCCCUCCCCCAAAUCUGUCGUUUCACUAUUCAUUUAAAGCUUCAAGUAAAACACAUAUAUUGUGAAUGAAAUAUAAAGUAACUUAGCUGGCUUUGUCCCCUAAAUUUAUAAGAAUGAAAAAAUCAGGGAAAAAAGUAAUGUAAUACAUCGUGUUAUGGAUAAGACAAACUAACAUAACAGAUCAGAAAUGAAGCAGAGAUUUGAAAUUGACUGAGUGAUCUGAAUAUUAAACAGUUAAAUCCCACUUUUGUCUCCCUUGUCUCUUAUCCAGCUGCAGAACAGGGGGUGGAGGGUCUGUAGAAAAACCCAGUAAUAAUCUGUUAUUUGGGUAAUAAUGAAGACAAAUGUGGUGUGAGGUUCUCAUAAUGCAAGGGGAUAAUAUUAUUAGAGAAAGAACCUUAACUGGUCAUUUCAUGUUCUGCCAGUAACAAUCCAGGAAGAGGUAGUGAAAUCUGUUAUUGUUGAUUUGAAAUGGAGACUUUUUCCUUAACGGUGUAACAUAGGUCAGCAUAGUAACUACUAAUAUUUUCCUGCAUAUCAUAUUAUGUUCUGAAAGUUGCCUCGUUAAGUUUAUAUCAAAUAAGAAAUGGAGAUGCGGUUAGAAAACCAGUGUUGUGACUGUGGAAUUAUAAUAUUUCAUUUUUAUAACUUUGGCCUGGUAAUCACUAGAAGCAAUACUUUCCCCAGAGAUGAGAUUUUUUUUUUUUUUUGUCAGCCUUAUCCUUGAGGGAACAGUAAACUAGAAACCUUCUUGUGCAUGAACAUUAGUGAGAAUUGUUCAUGGAAAAACUUGCAGGUUAUCCCAUCAUGCAGAAACAGCUGACCCCUUCAAAAAAAAAAAAAAAAAUCCCUCCACACCUGGCCACCACUACAGGAUUUUAAGACUGUCUUCUAACUGGUCUCCCUGCUUUCUGUCUGUCCCUAUCCAGACUAAUACACCUCACACAUAACUACAACUCUGUCAUGUGCCAGCUUUCACUCAGGGUUUCUUAUCUGUAAAAAUGAAGAUACUAUUUGCACCUACUUUACAGAGUGUCUGUCCGGGUACACUUAGCAUAUGUGACACCCAGAGAGAAUCAUUUUGUGCCAAUAUUGUUACAAAAUUAUUUUCAUUAAUAACUAUAGAAUAAAACAAAUAAUAAUGUCAAUAAAAGAAACAUGGUGAUAAUUUUCUCUCAUUGGAAUUUGUGUAUAUAACCAUGCCAGUAAAAUUAAAAACUAAAAAUGUGAGAUAUACUACAAAAAAGUAAGAGAUUCAGAAGUCUAAUCAUAUCUCUCUUGUUUUGGAUUUUAAAAAGUAUACCUAUUACAUUGAUCUCCUACAAUGAUGAACAAAUGAAUAAUAAUUAAAUAGGAGUAAGAAAUUUUAAUUCUAAGAAAGUUAUUCUAAUUCACUAAAAUGUUUCAUGUGUGAACUAAACUUUGCAUUUACUGGGAAAAAAGUACACCUUGCAUUGGGCACUGUGCGAUUGUUUUAAAUUUCAAAUUAAAUAAAAUUUCAAGUGACAAUAUAAAAUGACAUAAGGGAAGCCACUAAAAAUCACAGUAACCAGCAAUUAUAGGAUUUAAAACAACAAAUGAUAGUUUUCAGAAAGUGGUACUUUAUCACUGAUAUUAUAAUUUCCUACUCAUGGUGAUAAUCAUAGUCUGUUUAUAAUUAUUUUAAAAUAUAUGAUAAUGCAUCACUUUAUUGUAUCAUGUGGCAAACAGACUUGAGUCUGGCCUGUUGUGUGCUACAAAUAUGGAACCUUGGAGGUUAAAUGGGUUAAUACUUAAAGCACUGAAAAAGGGUUGGCAUAUGGUAAAUGCUCAAUAAAUAUUAUUAUCUGAAAUACCUAUGAUGCCUCUCUAUAUUUUCUAUACUAUACUGUAAAAACAAAUUCUAAUCUUACUGGUAUAUUUAAGGCCAUCCAUCAGUCAUCUAAUUGUACUGGUAUAUUUAAGAGUGAAGUAAAAGCUUCACUAGCACAGAAAUUUCACUGAAAUGUAUCAUUCUUUCACAGCUAGGUCUACAGCUAAUUUCUUGCCGGGAAGACGUCUCCCUCUGUUACUUCUAGGGGAACCUUGUCAUUCUUCAAGGUAUAGCUCAACUGUUGAUUCCCUUUCAACUCUCCUCCUCAGGAAGAAGAUUCACCAUCCAUCUAAUCAUCUGUCCAUCUAUCCAUCUAUUUAUUUCCUCAACAUCUAUUAUCAGAGCAUUUCGUAUGUUCCUCACAUCCUUCUGGAAAUAAAGAAGGAAUAGUAUCACGCUUGCUGCUUUUAUCAGUUAAAGUUUGCUGAGGAAAAGAGAAGUGGCAAUGACAAUUCACUAUUUUUAAUGCUAUCCUUAAGUGUAAGAAUUGAGCGCUAUCAGAGCACUGGGGAAAUUUAAACCAUAUUGGAAGUCGAACAUUUCCUGGAAGACACUGGAGACAUUUAAACUAAGACCUAAUGUGUAAAAAUUAAGUAGACGAAAGGCAAUGUAAGAUGGGAGGACUAGAGAGGAUAUCUUGGCACAGAGAAAAAGUAGUGUGAAUUAUGGUCUGGAGGGGAAAAAAAUACAAAAACAGAUUAGGAAUUAACAUAAAUUCCGCAUUUUUUGUAGGGUAGAAAGAUUGAGAACGGUGAAUGAGCCCUGGACAGGUAAUCCAAAGCCAGAAAAAUCAAAGCUUUGUCAAAUUUGUGUUCAGGAGUUUAGAUAUAGGCUAAAGGUAUUGAGAAGCCAUGGAAGGGUUUUAAGGGGAAACGUUAUAUGGAGUUUUGAAUGUUACUCUAUUAAAAAUGUGGAUUAUGGAUUGGAGAAGGGAAAUAAGAAGGGCUGUUGGGGUUGUUGUAGGCAUCUGAUCACCAAAUUGUAAUGACUUCUCUUAAACAGGGUAGUGAAGAUUGAAUCUCAAAGUUCAGGAAAUACAAGUUGCAGGACUUGGUGCCUGGAUAUUUGUUGCUAGGGAGAGGAAGGCGUCAAGGAUGGUUUCUGAGUUGACUUAGAACAGCAAUCACAAAGAGGGAAGAAACCAAACAAGAUGGCCCCAGUCAUAAAAACUAGUCAUCUUGCUGGGGAGCAGUUUUGUGUAAGAAUGGUGAGCUCCGUUUUAGUCUCCAGUGUGAGGAGUCUAUGAGACAUCAAGGUAGAGGUGCCAAGAAAACAUCAUUUGGAGUUUAUCUGUAAAGACAAAAAAGUGGAAACAAGCACUUCAAGAGUGUGUGAAAGGUGAGGAGAGAUCUGGCUGAGGAUAGAGCCCUGAGUUCAACAAAAGUUCCAGGAAAGACGGAAAAAAAAAAAAAAAAAAAAAAAAAAAAAAAAA